UACGUAGGUGGCAAGCGUUGUCCGGAUUUACUGGGCGUAAAGAGCGCGCCGGCGGUGCGAUCAGUCGAAUGUGAAAGCCCCCGGCUCAACUGGGGAGGGUCAUUCGAUACUGUCGGACUCGAAGGCAGGAGAGGGAAGCGGAAUUCCCGGUGUAGUGGUGAAAUGCGUAGAUAUCGGGAGGAACACCAGUGGCGAAGGCGGCUUCCUGGCCUGUUCUUGACGCUGAGGCGCGAAAGCUAGGGGAGCAAACGGG
rnacentral:rRNA from 1 species